rnacentral:ncRNA from 1 species
AAAGGGGUGCCUUUCCUGCCUUGGCAGGUGAAAUCGGCUGAGAUCAUACCCUCUAACCUGAUUCGGGUAAUGCCGGCGUAGGGAUUGGAUAUUUU